UACGUAGGUGGCAAGCGUUAUCCGGAAUUAUUGGGCGUAAAGCGCGCGUAGGCGGUUUUUUAAGUCUGAUGUGAAAGCCCACGGCUCAACCGUGGAGGGUCAUUGGAAACUGGAAAACUUGAGUGCAGAAGAGGAAAGUGGAAUUCCAUGUGUAGCGGUGAAAUGCGCAGAGAUAUGGAGGAACACCAGUGGCGAAGGCGACUUUCAGGUCUGUAACUGACGCUGAUGUGCGAAAGCGUGGGGAUCAAACAGGAUUAGAUAC
rnacentral:rRNA from 1 species